GCUCCGCAGGGCUCCGCCGCGGGGUGGAGGAGGGGACGCGCCCGCCAGGAGGGGGCGGAGGGACCGCGGAGGAGGAGCCUGGGGGACCCCUGGGCAGCCCGGUCGGCUCAGGUGGGUAACUGAUAACCAGAGGGAAGUGGCUUGCCCAAGAUCCCUUGGCAAGGUUUGGCAAAGCCUGGUUCUAGAAACCAAGCCUCAGUCCUCUUGUUAUCUGUUCCUUGACAGCACCUCUUUCUUCAGACCCAGUAGCUAUGAGAACGGUUGAGGAAAUGGUGGUGAAGGUGCUGCCCAGUGAAAAACACUGAGGUGCCAAGUCUCACUGAUGCUAUGGACAGUAUACUUGCAAAAGGACAACUCUCUACCAUAGGUACUACUGAUAUUCCUACAGAGGAGGCAACUGAGACUGAAGGUGGUGAUGGAAGCAUGUUCAUGAAGCUGCUAGGUUGGAGUCAAAGCUUGAAUUCGCAACUGAAGUAUGAGGAACUUCAGAGCCACUGAAACCAUAAUGGUCUGUAACCACUAUGCUACUCUAAUAUUAUUACAGGUAAGCAAACUGAGGCUUGAAGAGGUGAAGUUGCCUGAGGUGGCUGUGGGAUCUACCAUGCCCCAAGUUCACAGGGCAUCCCAGCUUCAAACUCCUGGCCAAAUCACCUUUUUUUCCUCAUCUCCUCCUUGUCACUCUGGAAAUUGGGCUGAAUUCAGGCCAUCCUCAGAAACACAGGGUGUUGCCUCCGCAGCUGGCAGAACAGCUAGGAAAGAGGCUUUGAUACUUGCUUGCUCCUAUUUGACCCUAAAGGAAGUACAUCGUUUUAAAUUAACAAACUUUAUUUUUUAGCGAAGCUUUAGGUUCGCAAUAAAAUUGAACAGAAAGCAUAACGAAUUCACUACUCCCCUUCCCCACACACGCACCACCUGCCCCACUAUUGAUAUCCCCCCCCCCCCGCCAGAGUAAUAUGUUUGUUAUGGUUGAUGUUAUGAGCCUACCCUGAUAUAUCAUUAUCACCCAAAGCUCAUAGUUUACAUUAAGGUUCACUGUUAGUGUUAUACACUCUACGGGUUUUAGCAAAUGUGUAACUAUAUGUAUCCACCAUUAUAAAUACCAUACCAAAGAGUUUCACUGCCUUAAAAAUCCUCUGUGAUCUGCCUAUUCAUCUCUCACCCCAAACCCCAAACUU